GGGGGUGUAGCUUGGUGGUAGAGUAUGUGCUUAGCAUGCUCAAGGCCCUGGGGUCAAUCCUCAGCACACACA
rnacentral:tRNA from 1 species